GCUGGUAGACGCAUCAGUACGAUUAGCGAGUGGUUCUACGGUUAUCCAUUACGGUUCAUCUGCUCCAACGUACAUUUGGAGAAAACUGACAAGAAGUAGUAUUUUGUGCUAUUUCUAUUUUAUUUAAGGCCAACUUCGUAAGUUCGACGCCAUGGGUUGGUUUCAGUGAUGGCCAGUAAGGCAGUUACGGUCUUUAGUUCCACACCGACUCGUCCUUUUCCCGUCUCGCUGUCUCCUCUCCAUGUGGUUCCUAUGGAUUGAUUCAAGGAAUGAUGCUACAAUGAAUAUUCAAGACUGGUUGAAAAAAGGAAAAAACUGCUCCUAUCCUGAUAUCCUUCAGAACUUCAAUAUCCAUAUAUUUCCUUUUCCUCCACCCCAUCGGGGGCGGUGCCCCUGAUCGGGUGGAGGCGCUCCUAAGGGCUUACAUAGUAGGCGUGUUGGCCUACUGUGCGAGUCCUUGGAGUUUUCGUUGCAGAUGCAGUGAGUUUUAACUUUACUAUUACUAGUAAUUUUUUAAGCUGAUAAUCUAGUAAUUUCAUUAAACAAGCGUCGCAGUUAAUGUAUUGUACAUAUGCAAUGGUUUGUAUAAAUCUGAUGGUUUGUAUAAAACUGGUUUGAGUUCCUGUCUUAGCAGGUAACUUGCAUAGUAAGCCAUAUAUUAACUUAUCAUGGGUAUUGAAUUUAUUGGCUUGAUCCACUCUGGUGUUAGUUGCUUCUCACCCAAAUAUUGUGACUUCAAACUAUAUUUUUUUUUAAUAUAUUAGUUUGGUCAGUUUUUUCAUAUAUAAGUUUUCAGUUUAGGUCAGUUUAAUCUUUAUAGAAAAACUGUAUGAUUACAUCUGGAUUAGUGUUUCUGGCUUUUCAAAGCUUCCAUUUCAUUUUUAGUUUUGGAUCAUGAUAUCUAUUGAAAUCUUAAAAUCUAUGGUUAUAACUUUUUAUAUAUUUGGUAGAUGUUAGUAUUUUGAAGGAGGUUUGAUGUUUUAUGCAAUAUUUUAUUCGAAAAGAGAGUGCAUAAAAAAACUUACGUAAUGAACAACAGUGGACGUUAAUUUUUCAUUUUUUUUCUUUGUAUUAAGGUUGCUUUUAAUUUAGUUUUACCCAAAGCUUUUCCUGUUAUUUUCAUGACUUACAAUUGGCCUUUGAUAUUAUGAGUAAUUGUGUGAUUAGUUCAUGGAAUUAUACUCCUUUUUCCAUCUGUUACAAAAGCGGGGCUUUUUUAAUUUCAGUUUUGAAUUGUGAUAUAACAGGUCUUGGGAAUAAAUUCUGUAACCAUACAUUCAUGAUCAAGAGAUUCCAGGGCGUGCAUCAUCGUCUUAUUACCAAUUUUUGUAACCACAUAAAAUUGACCCUGAUUGUCAGCAAAAGGGUACAUAAGCUGUUAAAUGUUUUUAUGACUCAAGGAUAUGACUUUUAGAUAUUUGUUUUAAUAGUUCUAAUUUGGAUUAGUACUGUAUAAAAAAUUGUUAACGAAUUUAAAGGAGAUUGACUGUGA